rnacentral:rRNA from 1 species
AUUGAACGCUGGCGGCAGGCCUAACACAUGCAAGUCGAGCGGAGCGGCGGACGGGUGAGUAAUGCCUAGGAAUCUGCCUGGUGGUGGGGGAUAACUUCGGGAAAGGGGCGCUAAUACCGCUUCCUAUCGAUUGAGCCUGGGCCGGAUUAGCUAGUUGGUGGGGUAAAGGCCUACCAAGGCGACGAUCCGUACCUGGUCUGAGAGGAUGAUCAGUCACACUGGAACUGAGACACGGUCCAGACUCCUACGGGAGGCAGCAGUGGGGAAUAUUGGACAAUGGGCGAAAGCCUGAUCCAGCCAUGCCGCGUGUGUGAAGAAGGUCUUCGGAUUGUAAAGCACUUUAAGUUGGGAGGCGUUACCAACAGAAUAAGCACCGGCUAACUUCGUGCCAGCAGCCGCGGUAAUUC